UCUUUCAGGGUUAAACUCAACCUCCCACAA
rnacentral:piRNA from 1 species